CAUUUUUAUUAGGAAUUUAAUUUUAAUUGAAAACUAAAUAAUUUUUCUGAAUAUAAUGGUUUUUUCUUAAAUACUUAUUUAAUAUAAAAAACUAAAAAAACUAAUAAAGCAGAAAUCGAAUAAAAUCAUUGUUGAGAUCUUUUUUAUUUCGUUACAAAAAAAAAAUUAAAAUAACAGUAUAAUACAUUCUUUAUGCACUUGUAUAUAAACAUACAUUGCAUGUCAUUAUUGGUUACGUUCUAUACAUACCUCCAUAAGUUUAAUAUGGUCGAAUAUCAUACCCUUUUGCGUAAAGAAAUUUUUACCAUAUUUAUUUCUUAAUGUGAAUUAUUAUUUUCAAAUUAAAAUUGUGAACAUGAAAAAUAAUUAAAAAAAAAAAUUAAAAACGCUCAACGAAAAAAAAUUAAAAUAAAAAAAAUUAAGUUAAAAUUUAUGAUUUGCACGUAAAAUUUUAAAUCAAAUUAAUAUAAUAAAAUAAUUGAAAUAAUUGAUUAAAAAGAAAAAUAGUAUCAAAUUAUAAAUGUUUUUAACAAAUAAAAUAUAUAUAAUAAAUUUAAAAUGAAAUAACACAUUUACAAAAAAAAAAACAAAAAAUUAUAUUUAGAAUUGUCAAAAGAGUUUAAAUAAAUUGCAUUUACUAGCAUAAAGAAAAAGUGACUUAAUUCUAAAUUUAAAUAAUCAAAAACGAUUAAAACAAAAAAAAAUUUGUUACACAUACGUUCAUACCAUAGUGGUUUUAAGAGAACUUUUAAAAAAAUUAGGAGAAAAAGGAUUAUAUAAAGAAUUCUACCAUUUAUUGACAAGGAUCUUAUAAAAGAUGUAGUUAGUUGGAAAUAUAAAGAUAGAACAUUUGAUGAAAUGUAAGUUUUCUGGCCACAAAAUUUAAAACCAAUGAAAUUUAAAAGAUAGGUCGAAGCAGAAAAGUUAGAUGAAGCAAGUGUGUAAAUAAUUUAGAAAAGAUAAAUUUGUAAAAGAUAAAACCCCAAAGACAAACAUGUAACAAACAGAAAGCAGUUUUUAAUUAAAACAGGUAUAGUCGUAAGAAUAUUUCAGCAAGUUAUAAAAAUACGUAAUAAUAAGUAUAAAUACACAUGCAAUUAAUAAAAAUAUAAACUAUUAACCAUUACAUGAGCAUUUUCAAAAAUCUUUUGACCUGUAUUCUCAAAAACAUCAUAAAUUUAUACUUUGUUCAUUAUCAAAAAGCGGCAUAAAAUUAUUAGUUUUCAGUAAAAAAUGUCAAUGAAUAAAAUAUCAGAUCAGUAUCGGAUGCUCAUUUUAUUAUCAAUAUAAAAAUGUUUCAAAUAAUUUAAUUCAAGAUUAUAUUUGAAAUUUUAAAAUGUGAUGAAAAUUGAAAACACUGCGCAAAUACACUGAUGGAAGUGGUCUACUAUAAGAAACAUUAAAGUUUGAUAUUUUUAAAAAUUAUAAUCAGGAGUAAAAUUAAUGUGUUCUGUUAUAAAUUUUAAAAUAUUUUUUUGUUAUUUUUCUGCUUUCUAUAUGAUAAAAUGCAAUAAAAACAUUCCUAUAAUGUUAAAAUUAUAUUACGAGGAGAAAAGAUAAAUAAUAAAAUUAAUGCAUAUCUUGCAGAACGUUUGCGUUGUGUACAUCUCAUUUCCAGUGUUUAUCAAUAUAUUAUGAAAGUACAAAAGCACGGAAAUAAAGAUUUUUUGCCGUCAAUUUGUUUCCAAAAGAAUUACAAGUACAAAAAGUAGUAAACAGUAAAUGAACAGUUGAACUAAAGAUAUCACAAAAAAAGUUGUAUUUUCCAUAUCAGAAUUUUAGUUUUUCCCCAAGAGAAGGUGGAAAAUGUGUUUUUUGUUUUUUUUUCAAUUUAUUGAAUACAGAAAAAAAAAUUUUAAUUUUUUUCAUAAAUUUUUUCACAAUAUUUUAAGAUUAAGGUGAACAAUUGCACGAAAAAAUUUUUAAAUGCUUUGAAAAUACAUUCAAAUGUAAAAAGAAAACAAAAAACAAAGUGCGUUAGCAAUAAUGGGCAUAUUCAUUCACCAACACGUAAGAAUAAAAUAAGAUUUAAAGGUCAAAGGUCAAAAGAAAUUACAACCAAAAGAAAUAGAAAGAAAUCCUUUUUAAAUCUCCAGAUUUAACUCUCUCUCUUAAAAUAGCAUUGAAAAAAACAAGUUUAAAAUAAUAUAUACAUGUACAUAACAUAAUAUAACAUAGUAGAACUUAUAAGAUAAUAAAAAAGCAUAAAAUGUGGAGUAGAAAAUAAGGAUAACAAAACUUUUUAAAAAGUAAUUUGAAUAGAUAAAAAGAAUAUUUUUUCAUAUGUUUAUAAGUGAAAAAAUUAUUUGAAAUAUAACUAGUUUUCUUUUUUAAUUUUUUUAUAAAAACAUGCAAAAAUGUAUCAGCUAAUGAUUUUAGCUAGUAAUUAUUAUUGAUCAAUUGGAAGUAAAUAAAUAAAUGUUAAAGAAUUCAAAUAAAUAAAAAAAGGAAAAUUCAAAUUAAAGUUGGCUUAAAGUUACAAAAGUAAGGAAAAAUAAUAUUUUAAUUAAAUAAAAAAAAGUGAAAUAUUUCAAUAUAAAGAAGGAAACAAAGGGAAUAAAAAAAAAGAACAAGUAAACAUAUUAAAGAAAAGACAAAAAUAUUUUUAUUUGGAAUACAAUACAAAGAAAAGAAACAUCUGAAGGCGAAUUACGAACGCCCUAGAAAUCAAGAGGAAAUGGGCACUAUUUUGCUCACAUUGUUAUUAAUUUUUCUAAUUGAAAUUAGAGGUAAGUAGUUUUUUAUUAAAUAUAUCCCGUUUUAAGAUAUAUAUGUCAGAUUUUAUAUAUAUAUAACACAUACAUAUACUUUUUUCAAGAAAACGAUUUACUAGCUAUUUGAUUAUUUUCAAUAUAGAAAAAUAUAUUGAAGGUCGAAAAACUUUUUCUUCUAACGAAAUAAAUUUAGUAGAUUUCAAAAGUUGCUAAAAUUUCAGGUUUCCAUAACUUGUUGUCUUCUUUAAGAAAACCGAUGUCAAAACUUUGAACUCGUUUAAAUAACGGUUAAUUUAAAGGCCAUUUGGUUAUUGUAACAAUUCAAUAUUUUAUUUCGCGUUAGAAGUAGGUACUCGUUCAAUGUUAUUGAAAAUGGAACGGAAUGGUUAAAAUCGGCGGUAGAAAGGUAUAUGUAAACAUGAAUAAAUAUCAGUAUUCAUUUUAUUAACAAUUAUCUCAGUCUACAAUCUUCUUUGUAAAAAGCACACAGCCAUCGGGCAUAAAAAUAUCAAAUAGGUUGGCCAGUGCUCCUACUCGGUAAAAACAAAAUGUAUCCAUCUUCGGAAUGUAUAAAGCUAUUAUACUACGUGCUAUGAAUAAAGAACACGCGUGCUAUGAAAACUAUAAAAAUAAGUAGUUGAGCAUCAAGAAAAUAAAGGGCAUUUGUUAGAUAUUUGGCGUUUUUAGAAAAUAUUCAGUUUUUCAAUUCAAAAUUUUGUUUUUGAGCAGCUAUUACUUGAAUAUGGUAACUCUUACAACUAUUAUUGAUAUAGUGUUAUGUAGGUCUAUCUUAUGCCUAAUAUAUCAGGCCACCCAACAGAAAUUAUUUUCCAAAAUUUUGCAAUCGGAAAAAAUUACAAAAACAAUUCUUAAUGUUUUAUGUUUUCGAAGUAUUUCGAUUGAAUUAUAUUUCGAAAACAUAAUUGGUGGGAAAGCUUCUCCAUAGUAGCAAAGUGUAAAUAAACUACAUUUAAAAAACUGUCAGUCCGUCGGACUGUUGGUCUGUCUGCCUGUGUGUGCACGGGUGUAUGUCAAGAUUAGCUGAACCGAUUUAGAUUUUAUAUGAAAAUUUUAUAUGAAAGUUUAUUUUGACUAUGGCACAGAUUGAUCAGUUUUUAAAACAUAUCAGGCCUCGGGAACUGGACCUCUUAAUGGGCCUGUUUUACAUUUUUGAUCAUUUUGAAGAAACUCUUCAACCUAUUUACUUGAAAUUUCAUAUAUAAGCUUCAUUUAACCAGACGCGAACCCUCCUAACUUUGUAUAUUUGGCUCAUAUUAAACGUCCUAGCAACUGGACGUUUAAUAUGGGUCAAAUAUACAUUUUUGCGUACAUAAAGAGAAAUAAUCAACUGAUUUCAUUGAAAAUUAAUAUUAUAACAAUGAAUCUAUAAAUUUUAAGGGAAGACCCGUGUUCGGAAACUGAUCUUCGGGCUGUUUUUACAUAUUUUACAAUAUAUACGGAACGAAUUGAUGGAAUUUUUUAAAAUUUAAUAUUUGGGUUCUGAUUGUUACAGAAGUAAUGUCUUUACAUUUAACAAGUCCCAAUACUCAAUAUUUUUUGCGAGAUAUUACGAAUUUUUGGCUUCGUUGCUGUUUUUUUCUUUAAAUGCCACUGAUCGUGUCAUAUGUCUUAUUAUUUUUUUUUUUUUUUUACAUAAAAAAGAGUUUAAUAUUUUAAAAAAUCUCAGGAUAUUAUACAUAUUUUUUAAAAAGCUUCCCAUUUAAAUUCUAUUGUACGAAAAAGAAAGGAAGGUAGGAGGAAAGAAAAAAUUAAAAAAAAAAUUUCAAAUUCAUAUUUCAGUAUGGUUUUAAAUGUUAAUAAGGAAGGGUGUAUUAUUUUUUCAUUUAUAUUUUGUAUUUCUCAAUAAGAUAAGUUGAGUAGUGUCGGUAAAGUAAUAUAAUGUCAUACACUAACAAUCUUAGCUACUAUCUCAUUUCGGUUAAUUAAAAGAUACUUAUAGAAUUGUUUCAAAUAAUUCCUAUUACUUUUUAAGUUAUUAAAAAUAAAUAUGUAUGUACCUACUUCCAAUCAACUUUUUUUUGUACAUAAUUAUUUAAAAUUUGGUUGAAACAUGUUAUAUUGAGUGCUUGUAAAUUAAUUUUUGCUCUUCUUUCAUAUUUUAAUAGCAGGUAAACAAGAGUAAUCUAUUUAUAAAAUGGUGCUGGCAGUGUAAAAUAAGUUCGUGCUUUCAAGUUUCUCUCUUAGCAUUGGGACUUGUUAGAUAUAAAGACAUUACCAGAAGUUACUAAUGAGCUUUUCUUAUAAGUCGAACGGCACAAAAUGAAACUCUACUAAGAACCAAAUUCACAUUUUUCUAACUAAGAGAUUAUAAAUGUCCUUAAAACUGUAAAGAAGUGUUUAAAACGCAUUUUCAUAAUCUUUUGGAAUACCUUUUCUAAUCUAGACGAUAUACAUUGCGGUUGGUUAUGUGCAGACCACAUCAAUUUUUUUUAUUUUUCUUUUCUUUCAAUUUCUUUUUAAAUUCAAUUUCUUAUUCAAAAACUUUACUCCAUAAUUCAGUACCCUUCCAUUUGGAAGACAAGAAGUCUGCACUAAAAAUUGCAAUUUUUUUAAAGGCAUCUUGCAGAUGGAAUUUGCCAAUUGAUUUUUUUGAAAUUUAAAUUUAAAAAAAUAUGUAGAAUCAGUAGAGCUGGAAAUAUUGAUCAAUUUUCUUCACACAAAUAAUUUCCAACACCCCU